rnacentral:rRNA from 1 species
GAUGAACGCUGGCGGCGUGCCUAAUACAUGCAAGUCGAGCGAACGGACGAGAAGCUUGCUUCUCUGAUGUUAGCGGCGGACGGGUGAGUAACACGUGGAUAACCUACCUAUAAGACUGGGAUAACUUCGGGAAACCGGAGCUAAUACCGGAUAAUAUUUUGAACCGCAUGGUUCAAAAGUGAAAGACGGUCUUGCUGUCACUUAUAGAUGGAUCCGCGCUGCAUUAGCUAGUUGGUAAGGUAACGGCUUACCAAGGCAACGAUGCAUAGCCGACCUGAGAGGGUGAUCGGCCACACUGGAACUGAGACACGGUCCAGACUCCUACGGGAGGCAGCAGUAGGGAAUCUUCCGCAAUGGGCGAAAGCCUGACGGAGCAACGCCGCGUGAGUGAUGAAGGUCUUCGGAUCGUAAAACUCUGUUAUUAGGGAAGAACAUAUGUGUAAGUAACUGUGCACAUCUUGACGGUACCGAAUCAGAAAGCCACGGCUACUACGUG